CACGGGUUCCGCUAUAACCCGCGGCUCGCAGGGUUGCUCUAGAGCCUUGCCACGCCGCCGCCCCGAGCGCCUUUCCCCCGCACCUACGUCCGCAGCCGACCACGCGAUCCCGCACACUCGCGCCUUUCCCUUGACACGGCGGACGCCGGAGGAUUGGGGCGGCAAUUUGCCAUUUCCUUUUUAAAUUAAAAUUCUUUUUUCCUGCCUGUUAUCGGAUUUGGGGGUAUUUUUUUUAUUUCCUGAUUUUCUUUUAUUUGUUUACGAUUUUUGUUUGACUGAGACAAACCCGCCGAAGACGUUUGCGUGGGGUUUGCGGAUCCAGGAGCGGAGA
rnacentral:lncRNA from 1 species